rnacentral:lncRNA from 1 species
ACCAGUUGCCAGCUGCUGAGGAGAAUGAGCUUGGAGCGGCAGGGCUUAACCCAGCGCGGCUCCGAGGUGAGUUGCUGAAGGACUCUGGGAGGCAGCUGCAACAGGGCAUCACUCAGUGUCCAAGUAUUUCCAUUUCUGAGAGCAAAAGGAAGAACUUAAGCGGGCGGCAGUUGGAGUGUAAAUUGCUUUGUAGUAUUUAAAAGCAGCGUGGAUCGUGGGCAGCUGAGCUGAAACAAACCAACAGGACUUCAUAUGAAAUCAUUGACCACCACGUGCUCCUUCCACCUCCAUUAACUCCUAAUUCUAGGCACAUGAGAGCCAAAGGAAACCACAGAGCCACAGGCACUCACUCACAGCCCUGAAGCAGCUGCUCACAAAGGCAGUGUCGCAGGGCGAGUGUCAGUCUGCCUGGCAAUCUCCUACAACUGAGGGGAAAUAAGAUACCAGAAUGGAUAAGCAGAAGUAACUGAGACUCUCCUGUCUGCCUGGACCUUCAGAGGCUGACUUCAGCUGAAGCACCAAGAGACAUCUUAUGGCUGAAUUCACACAUGAAAAACAUGACUCGAAUUGUUGUUAGCUAGCCUCACCGUACAAAGCACAGCACUGGAGAGAGCUGGAGAGUUGCAUCUUUAAUUGAUUUGCUCUGAGUCAUGUCUACAUCAGAGGGAUAGCUCGACUUGCACUGGAGGUACUAAUGGGGGAAAAUCAUUACCAUGCUCAGCAUAAUCAGAUAAAGAGGAAAUGGACUAGAGAGACAAGAAUCUGCGCAAGGGAAAAUGUGCUUCUGAGAAGAAAAGAGAAUUUUGAGGAGACUCUAUCCUGCUUAUGAGAGGACAUGGCUGUGAAAUGUUAACCAACCAAGGAUAUUAUUUGAAAAGAAAAAAAGUUAUUCAGCAAAAUGGAAAAAGUAAAGAAAGGAAAUGGCAUUGGAUAUUGAGAGGCAGCAUGAGCUAAGCGUGGCACAGCAGAAGAUAAGUGAUCAGAAAGAAGACUUGUUGACUUCAGACUUGGAACAUUCUUCUUUGAAUGGAGAUUUGCAGACUAAAUGACAAGAUGGUCUUUCAUGACUUGAAGUCAGGAAGCAGGGCUUUUGUAUACUUCCAACAUCCCAGUUUGUCAUGACUAUGAGCUUCAGGAUGGAAGGAGGGAGAGCAUGGCCCAGUUAACUCCUAGUUACUCUUGGGAAGGUGAGUGUAAUGGUUAAUUUUAUAUGUCAACUUGACUGGGCCACAGGGUACCCUGACAUUUGGUCAAACAUUAUUGUGAGUGUGUCUGUGAGAAUGUUUCUGGCUGAGAUUAACAUUUGAAUCAAUAGAGUAAAGCAAAUUACCCUUUCCAAUCUGACUGAGCCUCAUUCAGUCAGUUGAAGGCCUGUGUAGAACAAAAAGCUCACUGUAUGAUUAAGGAAGAACUCCUCCAUCUGAUCACCCUCCAGCAGGGACAGUCACUUUUUUCCUGCCUUUAGACUUGAACUGACACAUUGACUCUUCCUGGAUCUCAAGCCAGCCGGUCCUUGGACUGGAAGUGCACUACUGGCUUUCCUGGUUCUCAGGCCUUUGGACUCAGACUGGAACUACACCAUUGGCAUAGUUGGGUCUUCAGCUUUCCAACUACAAAUCUUGGGACUUGUCAGCUUCCAUAAUUGGAUGAGACUUGACUGUUCAAGAAAACAACAGCUUGUCCUGUGUACAAUUCUGAGUACUCGCUGAUGGAAAAUUAAAGACUGAAUACCAAAAGACAAAGGAGCUGUUUUCCUGGAGUCCUUCUUGGGCUCUGAGCACAGCAGUGGUGAGCUAGGCAGCAGAGGUGAAGUGUGGAGCUUGAGGAGCAAAAGACGAAAGAGGCAGAUUUGGACACAGGGACACAGACGCACACAGAGAGAAGACAGCUGUGUGAAAUUGGAGGCAGAAAUUGGAGUGUGCUGCUACAGCCAAGGAAUGCCAAGGAUUGCCCGCAACCAUCAGAAUCCAGAAAGAGGCAAGAAAGGAUUCUUCCCUGGAGCCUUCAAAGAGAACAUGACCCAACAGACAUCUGGAUUUCAGACUUCUCGCCUCCAGAACUAUGAGAGAAUAAAUUUCUUUUGCUUUAGGUCAUCAGUUCGUGGUGAUUUCUUAUGGAAGCC